UACAGAGGGGGCAAGCGUUGUUCGGAAUUACUGGGCGUAAAGGGCGCGUAGGCGGCCUUCUAAGUCGAACGUGAAAUCCCCAGGCUCAACUUGGGAACUGCGUCCGAUACUGGAUGGCUUGAGUGCGGGAGAGGGAUGCAGAAUUCCAGGUGUAGCGGUGAAAUGCGUAGAUAUCUGGAGGAAUACCGGUGGCGAAGGCGGCAUCCUGGACCGACAUUGACGCUGAACGGCGAAAGCUAGGGGAGCAAACGGG
rnacentral:rRNA from 1 species